GACGAACGCUGGCGGCGUGCUUAACACAUGCAAGUCGAACGGAAAGGCCCUGCUUGUGUUGGGUGCUCGAGUGGCGAACGGGUGAGUAACACGUGAGUAACCUGCCCAUGACUUUGGGAUAACUUCAGGAAACUGGGGCUAAUACCGGAUAGGAGCUCCUGCUGCAUGGUGGGGGUUGGAAAGUUUCGGCGGUUGGGGAUGGACUCGCGGCUUAUCAGCUUGUUGGUGGGGUAGUGGCUUACCAAGGCUUUGACGGGUAGCCGGCCUGAGAGGGUGACCGGCCACAUUGGGCCUGAGAUACGGCCCAGACGCCUACGGGAGGCAGCAGUGGGGAAUAUUGCACAAUGGGCGGAAGUCUGAUGCAGAGACCCCGCGUGCGGAAAGACGGCCUUCGGGUUGUAAACCGCUGUCGCCUGUGACGAAGCGUGAGUGACGGUAACUGGUAAAGAAGCACCGGCUAACUACGUG
rnacentral:rRNA from 1 species